UACGGAGGAUGCGAGCGUUAUCCGGAUUUAUUGGGUUUAAAGGGUGCGCAGGCGGAGGUGCAAGUCAGUGGUCAAAUUGCGGGGCUCAACCCCGUACUGCCGUUGAAACUGCAUCCCUUGAGUGCGCGAGAAGUAUGCGGAAUGCGUGGUGUAGCGGUGAAAUGCAUAGAUAUCACGCAGAACUCCGAUUGCGAAGGCAGCAUACCAGACUGCGACUGACGCUGAAGCACGAGAGCGUGGGUAGCGAACAGG
rnacentral:rRNA from 1 species